AGCCCCGUGGUGUAGUGGUUAACAUAAGAGACUCUGGAUCUCUAGUCGCCGGUUCGAAUCCGGCCGGGGCUG
rnacentral:tRNA from 1 species